UACGUAGGCAGCAAGCGUUGUUCGGAAUUACUGGGCGUAAAGGGCGCGCAGGCGGCCUUCCAAGUCAGAUGUGAAAGCCCCGGGCUCAACCUGGGAAUUGCAUUUGGGACUGGGAGGCUAGAGUUCGGGAGAGGAGAGUGGAAUUCCCAGUGUAGAGGUGAAAUUCGUAGAUAUUGGGAAGAACACCCGUGGCGAAGGCGGUUCUCUGGGACGGUACUGACGCUGAGACGCGAAAGCGUGGGGAGCGAACAGG
rnacentral:rRNA from 1 species